rnacentral:rRNA from 1 species
CGAACGCUGGCGGCGUGCUUAACACAUGCAAGUCGAACGCGAAAGGGACUUCGGUCCUGAGUAAAGUGGCGCACGGGUGAGUAACGCGUAGAUAACCUGUCUUCAUGUCUGGAAUAAUACGCCGAAAGGGGUACUAAUACCGGAUAUUCUUGCUUUUCAUAAGUUAUGCAAGCAAAGGUGGCCUCUGCAUAUGCUACUGCAUGAAGAGGGGUCUGCGUACCAUUAGCUAGUAGGUGGGGUAAUGGCCUACCUAGGCGACGAUGGUUAGCGGGUCUGAGAGGAUGAUCCCGCCACACUGGCACUGGAACACGGGCCAGACUCCUACGGGAGGCAGCAGUGAGGAAUAUUGCGCAAUGGGGGAAACCCUGACGCAGCGACGCCGCGUGAGUGAGGAAGGCCCUUCGGGUCGUAAAGCUCUGUCAAGAGGAAAGAAGUGUGCAAUGGCUAAUACCUGUUGUAUUUGACGGUACCUCUAAAGGAAGCACCGGCUAACUCCGUGCCAGCAGCUGC